rfam:Salmo salar isolate Sally breed double haploid chromosome ssa09, whole genome shotgun sequence.
UGCAUUCACUACUGUAAGUCGCUCUGGAUAAGAGCAUCUGCCAAAUAACUAACA